AAUUGAUAGACUUCAUUUUAAUACUAAAAUUUUAUAUUAUUAAUGAUAAUAACAAAUUAUCAAAUGUUAUAUAUAUUAAUUUGUACCCGAGCACAACGACAAGAAUGUCUUUUUGGCUCUAGUUUGCCUUAAUUUCUCUUCUUCUUCUUCUUUUUUUUGUUGAACCUUAAUUUCUCCUUAAAUCUCAAAAGUCACCAUGCCUUUUUUGCUUUUGCUUUAUUUUAUUAUUUAUAUAUAUAUUUCUUUAUUGAUUGGACUUAUAUAAUCCAACUAGUUAGCAUGCACCGAUAAUUAAAACUUACCGAGCUAGUUAAAAAUUAGUAAUUCAUUGAUUGGACCACCGGCCAUGCAUGUAUAGUCGUUGCCUUCACGUGAGGGAAGUUUCAAUGGACAGGAGAAUCCGAGGCGAUCCUUGUCCAAGAAGAAACUAACAUGUGAGCAAGUUUUGAUGCAAAAGCAAUGGAAAAACAUAAAACCAAAAAUAAAAGACAACUACUUUAAUGGUUUCCGUGGAAAGUGGUCAUAGUUGAUGAAUACAUACAAGGUGUCGGGACAAUUGCUGCACCAUUGAACUUUCCUUUUCUUUUUUUAAUAUAUUUUUCAUCAUAAAAGUUACUUUUGUUGAAUAUAUUUGAACUCUUGAUCCCAGUUAAAAGCUUUUACCUUGAACUUGUUAAGUAUUGCCAUAUCAAGCUGAUGAAUUUCAUUUCACUAUUGAAAUCUUGCAUUAUCAACUAUCUCUUAAAUCUACUAUAUAUAUAAAGACUUCAAAUGAUUAUAAUCCCAAAGAAAGUAAAGAGGAAAACUCUAGUGACUUGAUAUCCUAACUCCUCCUUAGAGGAAGCAGGCAAAGGUUGCACUUUUAGGACUCCUUGCAUUUCUCCCUUUAUUGUUUCUUGGACAAACCAAAAAGCAGCCAAUAGCAUUAAAUUAGACCCAAUGAAGAAUUGAUUGAAAUGAUUUUCAAUGACACAUAAUUUUUUACACAUAUCUGCCUUAGUUUUGCUAUUAAUGGAAUAUGAUGGCAGAUAUAGUGGGAAGAUUUUCUAAAUAGAAGAUAGGACAUGGAUAGUGACUUGCAAUCCAUCUGGAAAAGAAACGUGCAAUGCAUGGAUCACCAAUAAAUUUUAUUAUUUCUUGGACUGACCAAAGAGAGCCAAUGUUGAAUAAGAAUCAAUACCGGGGUAGAUAUUUCUAUAACCCUUGCUAUAUAUCUUUUAAAGGUGGAGAACACUUUGAACAUAUCAAUCUCCGCAUUUUUUGUCUUUCCUCUUGUCUAAUUUUUCUUUUCUGGUAGACUUUUCAUCUCCACGAUGACUCUUUCUAGUUCCUUUGCACAUUUCUUUCUUCCUGGCUCCAUCUUUUUUUUUUCUUUUUCGAGCUCCUUGUGGCAAUUAUUGCAUGCAGAAAAAUGCCCCACCCACCCGGCCGAGAAUCCUCUGCUUUUUCAUGCCCAGAUUUUCUUGUCUAUUUGGCCGUGAAUUUUGAUCUUGAAUGCCAAGAUUGCCUCCUUGUCAAGAUGAAAAUUGCUCUCUCCUGACCUAAUGGUCAAGAAUUUUUGUUGUUAUUUGGAACAUAUUUGGCACUGAAUAUAAAAUUCGGAAAAAUCUUUUAGGCAAAAAUGUUGAGGGUUGACACAGCAUUUGGUUUAAGGUUGAAGGUUUUUUGAAACAAAAAAAUUCAGGAUAAAAUUAAAAUUAAACCUAAAAUUUUAGGAUUUUUAAGGAAUUAGGACCGUGUAAAAGCAGGAAGAGAACCUUACCGAAAAAAAAAAGAAAAAAGGAGGAAGAGAAAGUGGAGGAGCUUCACCUGUCCUCAUCAUCUAGGGGGCAUAUUUGUAAUUAGAUAGCAUAUCAUAAUUUUAUUUCUAUUGCCACUCCCGAUGGCUAGGCCCCACGAGUCCUUCCUUAACUUGAGACUAUCGCUCAUUCCUACUAAGUUUUUGUCCAUUUCUUAUUGUAAAGGAGUGGCUAAGCCCACUACUCUCUUCUCUACUUAAUUAUGAAGUUACCAAUUAAUCAUUUAAUCAAAUUUAUUGAUGUCACAAUUUCUCAAUCAACCCAAAGCCAAAUUCAUAAAUUAUUUCCAAUUUUUUUUUGUUGGUUUAGUUUAGCGGUUGCAAUCUUCCUUCAAUGUAUGUUAAUUCAAAUAUUUAUAUUAUUGAAUGGAACUAAUACGUGCAGUGUUAGUUCAAUAUUUUAAAUAAUACUUUAACAUAAUGUAUGCGGUUCCUCUUAAAUAAUUAGGGGUAGCUAUGUUAAUGAAAAUGUAAAUAGGUUUUACUUACCACACAGAAUACACCUAGGCAUUUUAUUCGCAUCCAACAAUAUAUUUUAUAUAGAUCUAUUUCUAUUAAAUAAUGAGGGGUAACUAUCUUUAUAAAUAUGUUAAAUAGGUUUUAUUGAUCACUCAAAAUAGAAUGUGUCUCAAGAAAUAGAAAAUGCCUUCUUGUUGCCCACUUUCUUGUGGUUUGAUUUAUGCAAUGGAACCAGUUGGCAAUCAGAACUCGCACCAAUAAGUCAAGCUUUGUCAACCACGUGCUUAGAGUUGUUGCCUUCACGCGGCUGAAAUCUCAGUUCACAAGAGAAUCCAAAGAUUAUACGCAUGGAACGGUGCAUUUGUUGGGACUCGGAAGAGGAAAAGUGGACAGAGACUUGGGAUGAGACUUGACAUGGAUUUGCAAGAGAAAAUGAAAAGUGGAUGAGAGAGACAGAGAGAUUCGUCCUUUUCAAUAAUUUCCAGACAGGUGCUCAGUAAAUGAUAAAAACACGCAAGGUGUCAGUACAUUGAAGAGGGCACGCUUGGUCAAUCAGGGUGCGCAUGGAAAUACUUCUGUUUCUUUUUUGUUCCUGGGAAUAGAAAUAAAAAAAAAAGUGUUUCUGUUCUGGGAAACAGUUUCUGAACAAAAGAACGCGUUUUGUAAGUGUAAAAAAAAAUUGUUCUUGGAAUAAAAAAAGAACAUAAACAUGUUUGGUAACUGCAGUCAAUUUCUGUUCCUAGAAUAGAAAAAGAACAUAAACACGUUUGGUAAACGACAAAAAAAUUUCUGUUUUAUUUUUUAUUUUUUAUUUUUUAUUUUUAAAUUUUUUUAAUAAAGUUUAAAAUUGAUAUUGAAUUCUAAUUCUUAUGAAAUACUCAUUAAUUUUAUUUUGUUCAUGGUUAGUGAAGACAAACAUUUUUAGCAUGAUCAUAUAGCAUAUUUCGUAGAAAAUGUUGUAAUUAAAGUUUUUAUCAAAUUUUUUCAACAUGCUCAUAUGUGCGCCCUUAAACGAAAAUUUCAUACAUCUCAACAUGAACUAGUUACCUUUUUUUUAUUUUUCUAGGCAACGCAGCCAAUCGAAUAAUUGUUCUUUUUUUGCUUUUACUCAGGUAAAAAUAUUCGCUGCCAACUAGUUUUCUGAAAUUUCAUUUGUUUAGUUGGCUAAAAAUGAUUAUGGUCAAAGAUACAUGUAUACUCAAAGUUAAAAAAAUAAUUUUUCUAACUUGAAAAUGGACAUUUUCUUGGAAAAUUAUUUCGAAAAAAAUUAUUUUCUUUAAUCAUGAAAUUGUUCUUGAAACAUACGCCGCCUUGAGUUGCUUCACGAGAUGCGCAAUGUGGCUGUUGCAACAACAAUUAGCAACAAUAUGGAAUUAUUCACUUGUGCAAUUCAUUGUAAUCUGGAAAGUAAUGCCAGAACAAGGGUCAGGCGUUUAGGUUAGGGAAAGAAUGGCAGAUCCCUCCAACGAAAUGUCGUUCACUGGCCAUGUGCGAAGACCUUGCUUCCCAAAAUUAUGCCGGGGCAGCUGAUGCGGACUGCUAUCUGAAAAGCUUUCAGGAAGUAGAGCCACUUUAUAGAGACGCCAGAGGAAGUGCUCUGUCUCUCCAAUCCUUGCCUGUCUGUCGGUCCAAGCUAUUCACAAGAUGUGUGGCCUGGUCCCUCAUCCGGGACUCAGAUAUGGAAUCGUUGCGGUUCGCCAAGGGAGUGCUUCAAUCAACUCUCUUUUGCUCAUAACUCUUGACAUCUAAUCACAGCAGCAUUACUCUGCCUUAUGAUAUACUAACUUGCACCAACUUUUACUAAAGAUCAGGAAUCUUAAAGAUCUAGAAUACGUAUGAACUGUGCUCUAAGAUUGCAAACUCAAUGAAGUUCACUGCUUGCAAUCAAAAUAAUCGAACCUUUACAAUUUUUUAUUUUCAUAACAUGCUUGUUUUCUACAUAAUUAUUUCAACCUUAAAGGGAAUACAGAACAUAAAGCAGUCAAGUACAUGAAAAAUUCAACUGCCUGCUCUUUCAACACUAAGAGAGGAAACACUACAGAACCUAUUUACAGCAAUUCAAAAGGUAAAUUUUGCCUAAAGACUUUUCACAGCCAAAACUUUCCUCACCCUCCUUUUAGAGUUUUGAGAUAUUCCUACAGCGUCAAGAAGUUAAUACUUCUUCAGCGUGUUCCUCAGCCGAAUGAAGCACCAAGUUUUAGCCAGGGUCCUGUACUUCCUCCAGCCGCCAAAGUAUCUUCCUAUCACUUUUUUGUAGGAAGGCCUUUGCUGAACCAAACUCCAGUAUUUGGCCAUGUUUGGCCUGCUGUUUAUAUACUCGUCUUCCAAAUUCAAGAGUGCUAAACGAGCUAGCACCGGAAUGAACAUUACGUCUGCCAUGCUGAACUCUUCCCCUGCAAUAUAAGUCUUGCUCAAACUGUCCUCAAUUUCAUCAAGAAGUCUGAUUAGAUGUUCCUUGCUCCGCUUUACAACCUCUGGGUCUCUCAGCUUCUCUUCGGUGUGAUAUGCCUCUUUUACCUUGCGGUGGUAGGAACUUGCCAGGUCAGGUGACUCGGCCAUCUGAGCAAUCAAGACUCUCCUAAAAAACUUGGACACUGCUUGCCGAUACUUCUCAGGGACGUGGGAUAAUUUGAAAAACUUUGGAUUCCACUCCUGUAUUUUAUGCAUCCAUUGAAUGACCUCAUCACUGCUGAAGGCGAUGCUAUCAUUAUUAACAGAGACAACUGCAAUUCUCUCUAUAUACCUGUAAAUUUCUAAAGCAUUAUAAACUUCCACAAAAGAAGAGAAUGAAGACAGACAGACAGAAUAAAUCUGCAAAGAAUAUGGUACAUAAUAGAGCACAAUACCCCAUCCUGUCAACAGAUACAUUCAAUUACUCAGAAAUACAUAAAUACUUUUAUUUGGCAUACUUAGCUAGAGAAGCUGAUAUUUCUCAUUAUCACAUGCCAAAACAGUUGAAAAUUAGAUCAAACAAACAUCCGUCAUAACCAUAUCAAAAAGAAGAACAAGUAUGCUGUAAGAAUAGGAUGAGACUUACUGAAUGAUUUCAAUAGUAUCAAAGAUGACAUGCGAACCAUUCUGGAAAACAGGGAGUUUUGCAGUCGGGUUCAUUCUGAAGAAGGAAUGCCUCAAAUUUUUGCCUGUUAUCGGAUUCAUUUGGAAGGAUGUGUAAUCAAUGCCCUUCUCUUCCAAAUCCAGCCUUACCUUUUGGCUGUCCAAUGAAUAUGGGUGAUGAUACAGUUGCAUGAUUCUAAUUGCUUUCCUUUUAUUGACUUCAAUUAUGAAGCACAAGCUUCACACAAAAUCAAGAGGCCUGCUGCAAGUCAAAUUGAAACAAUUACAUAGCCAAAGAGGAGGUUUAAUUAGCAGUUAGCAUGAUUCAAAAGUACAACUUUUCUACCAAUAUUAACACACGUCACUCGUUUGAGAUUGCAAGUUUGACAACCAUCACCCCUCUCAGAUAAGACUAAGGUUUUGCUAAUCUAAAAGGUCCACUCUAUACUGUGAUGAAACAUAGUCAAAAUCAAAAGAGAAACUAGAGGCUUCAAAAAACUUCUUGGCAUCCCCAACGAAUUAAUACACAAGCAUUGAAGAACAUUUAUUGACAUACCCAUUUUGAGUAAAAGAAGAAUCUCUAGCAUAUCUUAGUCUGUGGCCAUCGGCAAUUACCUCCCCAAGGAAACAAACCAGACAGCAGUUCAGACAAACGUCAACAGUGAAACCCAUUCAACAAUCCUCCUUUCAGCACCCAAUCUCCAAUAUAGUCACUUAGUCAGGUUAGGCCUCAAACGAUGUAUGGUUCCACAAAAACCCAAAAAAAAACGCUGAACUGAGACGCCAUCUUAUGUAAAAGCUCCAAAACCAAAAGGUUCAUUUUCCAGCAGGAAAGCAUUUAAAUUUUGCAAACAGUAAGAUUAGAAUAAAGGAAGUAUUCCCGAUUCAGUUAACAAAUACACACAACGAACUCACACCAACUCCCGUCGUGCUUAGAACAGUAUUGACGGUUCAAGAUAGGGGCAAAACGGGUCCCGCCACUUCUAAUUCGGCCAUCAAUAUAGCAAGGAAUUCCAACGAAGAACUUCACGAGGCGAUCAAGAACGGUCUAGACCACACGGUCGAAAGAGGUUCGACUGACCGGAUGACAUGCAGAACCAGAACCGCCACGCCCCCCGCUCCAACACUCCAACCCCAACUCAAGACCCGCUGAAGUCAACGCGCGCAAGCACGAUCAAGUUCACAACAAGAGCCCGCAGCGCAGCGACCAAAUUGACCAGGGAAUCAAACUAAAACGGAAACAGCACGCAGCAACGAUGAGGUUUUGCUACAUGAACCAAGAUGAAGAAUUCCGUCACUUACCGAGAGGGUAUCCACCCAGAGCUGAGAGACGAACCCCAAGCCAAGAGCAGAUUCGAUGCUGAUCACUUGCUUCGCCACCAUGCUCGAUCGCCUCAUCACCUGUCGCCCACCCCUCGCCCUCAAUUUACUCUCCGAUUCCUCUUCGCUCCUCAACGCGACGCCGACAUCGCCGCCGUCGCCGCUUAGGAGCACCUCCUCCUCUUCCACACCGGACCACGCCGGCUUUUCGGCGCCAAAGUUUCCGCCUUCCGCCGCAUCACUCCCGCCGCUCCCACUUCCCUCCCUCGAUCCCGCGCCGCCGCCUCGGUCCGUCUCCGAGCUGCGCCGCCGCAUCACUGGAGCUGCUGCUCGAGCGAAGGGGGAGCAACGCUGACCAGAGAAGGAGCGCCGAAGGGGGAGCAACGCUGACCGGAGGAGGAGCGCCGAAGGGGGAGCAACGCUUACCGGAGAAGGAGGAGCACCGGAAACUUACCUGGAGUCGCCGGAGUGAGGAGUCGCCGGAGAGUCAGCUGAGUGGGAGCCGCUGGACAGAUGGGAGAGACGCCGGAAAAGGAAGAACGAAGCUUCAGCCGACGAGAGGAGCGACGAGCACGCACGAAGGAGAAGAGCCUUUGUUCCGAUUUUGUUUCUUUGUUCUUUUGGUUUUUGUUCUUUUGUGCCUUCCAAGAAGUGUUUCUUUUCAAAAGAGACAACUUUUUUAUGUUUCUUUUUUCUGUUCUUAUUUCGUUCCAGAAAUAAAUAAAUAAAAAAGGAACAGAAACGCAACCAAACGCGUUUAAAGGUGCAAAAAAAAAGGAAUUUAAGCUCCUCAUCUCACUUAGGAAUUUACCCCUCUUGCCUUAAGUCUGUUAAAUAUUAUACGAUCAAAUCGAUAAACUUCAGUUUAAUACUGAAAUGAUGUAUUAGUGAUAAUUUAUUCUGAAAAAUUAUGUUAUCAAUGGGUGUUGCAGAUCAUAAAAAAUUAUCAACCUGAUGAGAAUAAUUUCUUUUUUGCUUAGGUCUUAUCUUAAUUUCUCGUUCAAGUUUCGUAAAUAAAUCAGAAUACCUUUUUGCUUUUGCUUUUACUUUUACUCUUACUUUAUUAUAUAUAGGGUUAAUACAUUGAAAAACCCCAAACUGGUACACUUGUGACAAAUUUACCCCAAACUAUUUUUUUGACCAUGAAAAACCCAAAACUGGUAAACUUGUGACAAAUUUACCCCGACUAACUAUAAAAAACCCUAAACUGGUACAUUUAUGACUAAUUUACCCAAAACUAAUUUAUCUGACUGCAAAAAACCAUAAACCGGUAAAUUUUUGAUAAAUAUACCCUAUACUAAAUUGGAUUACUAUCACAAAAAAAUUAUAAAAAUUGUAAAUUGUGAUAAACGGAGUGUGAAAUCCUAAAUUGGUAUACCAGUUAAUUGUCACGUGUCAUUUAACUUAAUAAUUUGAGAAUAAAAUUUAACAAAAACCAACAUAGGGUAAAUUUGUCACAAGUGUACCAGUUUGGGGUAAAUUUGUCAAAGGUAUACCAUUUUUGGGUUUUUAGUGGUCAAAAAUAUAAUUUAGGGUAAAUUUGUCACAAGUGUACCAGUUUGGGGUUUUUUAGGGUAUUAACCCUUAUAUAUAUUCAUUGGUUUGAUUCAUCUAAUCCAAUCAGUUGACAUGCUCCUAUAAUCCAAAUUUGCUGAACUAGAUGUAAAUUAGUAAUUCAUUGACGGGGACCACUAAACAUGCAUUUAUGGUCGUUGCCUUCGUUUUGUGGAAGUUUCAGUGCACAGGAAAAGUAAAUUUCAAGGGAACGUAGAUGCUAUAAAAGUAGAUUAACAAUCUUUCUGUAAAAUUACAACCUUUUACUUUGUCCUUUCUCCACGCGUGCCUCGACGUCUCUCUUUCUUCGUUUUUCUUAUUUUCACCUCCUACGUUCUUUUUUUCUUUCCUUUCUUCCGCGGACCACUUUCUCAGUUUUUCUUCAUAAAAGCUUUUCUCUCUUUUGCCGACCAUAAGCCUCUCUCUGUAUCUCCAUUUCUUGACCGUGACGAAAAGCUCCGUCGUACUUUUUCGUCCUCUUUUGACAACGAUCACAUGCUGAAAAAUUGCCCACCCCACUUGGCCGAGAACCCUUUGCUUUUUCUAUGCCCAUAUUUUCGUGUCUUCUUUGGCCGUGAAUUCCGGUCCCUGAAUGCGGAGAUUACCCCCUCCCCCUGUCAAGACGGAAAUUGCUCUCUUGACCGUGUCCUCAAGGUACUUGUGGUUAUUUGAGAUUCAUUUGAAACUGAACAUAAAGUUUGAAAAUUCUUUUUAGAUGAAAAAAAAUGGGGGCCCAUGUAGCAUUGGGAUUAAAGUUGAGGGUUCUUUGAGACAAAAAAGAAGUUCGGGAUAAAAUUAAAAUUGAACCUAAAAUUUGUGGGUCUUUAGGUAAAUAGGACUGUAUAGACAGAGGGAAGCAAAGCUUCACCGGUUUUGAGAAUCCGUGGGCAGAUUGUAAUUAAAUAGCAUGUAAUAAAUUUCUUUCUCCUCUUUUGAUGGCUGGGUCCCACCAGUUCUUGCUUCCUGUCAUUUCUUAUGUCCGAUGAGUGGCUGGGCCACCACUCUUCUCCUAGUUAAUUAUGAAAUUACCUAUUAAUCAUUUAAUCAAAUUAAUUGAUUUCAAUUUUUCGAUCAACCCAAAGCCAAAUUGACUCAUUUUUUUCUGGCCAAUGUUUUUCUUGGUUUCGUUUAAGCGAUUGCAAUCUUCCUUAAACACCUAUAAAUUGUGGUAUGUGUUAAUUCAAAUAUUUAUAUUAUUGAAUGGAGUUGAAACAUUCAACCUUAACUCAUUUUAGAUUAAAUAUAACUUUAUACAAUACUUAAACACAAAUGCAUGUGGUUCCUCUUAAAUAAUGAGAGAUAGCUACGUUAAUAAAAAUGUUAAAUAGGUUUUACUUACCACCCAAAAAUAUAUUAUUCUUAUUUAACAAUGAUAUGUUACUCUUAAAUAACAAGGCGUAGCUAUCUUUUAUAAAUGUGUUAAAUAGGUUUUGCUUGGCAUUCAAAAUAUAUCUAAACAUAUUAAUAUUGUUAUUCAACUUGAUUGGUGCAAGAUGUGAAGCAAAUUAUAUGUUCAAUAGUGAGUCCAUCUUCUAAGAUACCAUUUAAUGCAUUUUUUUUUCAUGUAGUUACUCGACAAAACAAAGCUCUUCAAAACACUGAUUCCACUCCGAUUAAAAGAUUUGCGUCAAGAAUUGAGUGAAAUGUAAAGAAUCCAAUGCAUUAAUUACUUCAUUUUACAAUAGAAAGAAGCUUACUCUAAUAUCCACUAUCCGCUUGUUAGAAUGCAAGCAGAAAGUAUUAUCUAUGCUAUUUAUAUAUCAAUAAUCCAAACUAAAAGGUCACUACCUGAAGUUGUGGAGUGUGAAAAAACAAAACAAAAAAAAUGAGUGCUUUCGUAUAUCAUGAUGACUAUUUUUUUAUAGUAUUAAUUUACAAUACCUUAUAAGUGCAAAAUUAUCGCUUUAAUUUCAAGAGCUUAAUUGCAUUGUUCUUUAAAGCUGACCAAUUCUAGCUCAUCUUUAUCUACACCGCAAAGGAUAUAGAAACAUUGCUUCGAAGCAUUUGAGAGCUCUACAAAUGAACCAUUGUCAGUUAAACUAGCAUAUUUGGGUACUAGUGUAGACAUGUGAUGAACUUUCGAAUGUCAAGUUAUUAAUUUCAUUUAGUCAAAUUUGUUUAUUUAUUUCACAUUUUUUUAAUUAACUCAACUCAAAACCAUUUUUUUUUGUCAUAAACCUAAAGCCAAAUUAAUAAAUCGAAAUUUAAAAAAUUUUCUCGACAAAUGUUUUUUCUUGGUUUAGUUUGGUGAUUGCCCUAAUAUUCUGCCAUUCUUUUUUACUUGGUCGAAAAGUGGGCUUUAGAAAAAAAGAAAAAGAAAAAGAAGCGAUAGAAAGGGAAAAGGGAGAGCACGCAAAAGGAGAGAUUGAAAGGGAAAUAGGAGAGCAUGCACCAUGACAGAAACAAAAAGAAAGGGAAAAGAAGAGGAAAAAAGGGAAAGAAGAUCAAAGAAAGGAAAAGAGAAAGAAGGUUUUGCGUACGCAUGGCGGGACUUCGUCAAGUCAGAUUUAUUUGAUUUGUUGUUACCCGAUAAGAAUUUAAGUAAUUUGUUUGUCUAAUUGAAGUGAUUUUUGGCAUUAGAGUACAAAUUCAAAAAUUAUGUAAAAUUUGAGUUGUGAAAUUCAAUUUUGGCAUCAUUAAGCUGUGGCAAUAAGGGCAUUGCGGCAUUGUGAAAUUCGAUUUUGGUCAAUUUGGUCCGAUUUCCAAGAGUAUUGGUCUAGUUCUUAGUUCCAUAAAAAUGGAAUUAGUGAUUUUUGGUCCGGUUCCGGGUUCCGAAGGGAACCAGAUUAGACUGACUCUUUUUCAUUAAUUUUUUUUAAUUCUAAAAUAAUAACAACUCUAAUAUUUCUUUUAAUUUUUCAAUUUUUGAAUAUUUAUUGCUAAAUGAUCAAUUUCAUUGGACCAAACUGGUUUGGUCCGGUUCCUGAUCCCAAGACUGUUCAAUUCAAUCCUUGGUCAUAUAGAUGAAAUUGGGAAUCUAUCACCCCUAACAUUUCAAAUAAUAUUUUGGAUAACUUUGAAUAAUUGCUUUGGGAGUAAUUCAUUGAGCCAUGAAAGUCAUCUUGUUGAAAGGUGAGUUUCCUCCAUAGAUGACCCAUGAAAAUAGUUACUACCAAUCGUGACUUUUGCAAAGCUUCCAACUUUGCACGCCAUUUUCCUUAAAGAUAAAAUGAUUUUUCUUACUCCGGUUCUAACUUUGAACAAAAAGUCGUUCAACUUCAAAACUGUGCUGAACUUGAUUUUGUUUUAGGUUUGAACUGAAAUUAUGAAGAAAUUUAACUGUGAGGAGUAAAAUUCUUGGAAAUUAGAGUGCAAAAGGAAAAGUGAACUCGCAGGAAACGAACAUGCUACGAAAGUAGAGUAGGCUUUCGGUGAAAUUGCAACUUUUAGGGCGUGCAUGGAAACAAUUCUGUACGGAAAGUGUUCCCGGGAACAAAAAAGGAAUAGAAACGCGUUUGAUUGCGUUUCUGUUCUUUUUUUGUUUUUUUUGUUCCUGGAAUAAAAUAAGAACAGAAAAAAGAAACAUAAGNNNNNNNNNNNNNNNNNNNNNNNNNNNNNNNNNNNNNNNNNNNNNNNNNNNNNNNNNNNNNNNNNNNNNNNNNNNNNNNNNNNNNNNNNNNNNNNNNNNNGGCGACUCCAGGUACGUUUCUGAUGCUCCUCGUUCUCGGUCAGCGUUCCGGUUCGGCGUUCCUCCUCCGGUCAGCGUCGCUCCCCUUCGGCGCUCCCUCUCCGGUCAGCACUGCUCCCCUUUCGGCGCGACAGAUCUGGGACGGCUCGCUCGAGCCUCGAGCGAGCGUUGCUCGCCCAGAUCUGCCGCGCCGAAGGGGGGAGCAACGCUCGCUCGAGAGCGAGCUCGAGCUGCAGCUCGAUCUGCAGCUGCUCGAGCUCGCUCGAGCUCGAGCCGCAGCUCGCUCGAGCUGCUUUUGGCAUUAUGAUAAACCAGAUGUUGAGCUUACAAUCUGAAAGUAACCCUUGAAGUUUGCAGCUGAAACGAUGUUAAAAAGACCUUUCUUUAGGGUGAUGUUUUUUAACUUUAUUCUUGGUUGGUGUGUAGGGAUCUCAUAUGAGUAUAAAGCAGUGGAUCUCAGGAAAGAAAAGCAAUAUACUGCUCGUAAUUUCAGAUCCUUCUUUUUAGUCAUAGAUCAAAUUGUUCUCGAGAUUUCAGUAGGUAGGCCUCGGAAUGGCAAUGGAAAGAUUUUGUAUGCAUAAUACCCACUGGCACGAUUACCUCAAGUCUGUGAAAUCUAGUGAAGUAUUCUCUAGCUCUGAUCGAAGUUGUGUGCUUGAUUUUGCAGAAUUUGACAAGUUAAAUCCUAUGCAUUUGGUUCCAGUGUUAGUGGACAGAGAUUUCGUGGUUUCAGAUUCUUAUGCAAUUUUGCUGGUGGGUGUUAUUUAGGCUAUGCAGCAGAGUUUGCAAUAGAUAAGAGUUGGAUGGACGCGUAACUUAAAAUACCAAUACGUAUGAGGUCAUCAUUUAGGAGCCUUAAAUAGAAGCUCUCUAGCUCCUUUUUCAACUCAAUGCAUAGUUUCUGGCCCCUUUGCUUGAUUUGAUCAGUUUGAUUGGUUUGAGUGCAUUUCGAUUUUGAUUUUUUGCUAAAGCACGUGUUAUCUUUGUUCAGUAUUUGGAAGAAAAGUAUCCUCAGAAGGCUUUGUUACCUCGUGAUCCUCGAUUGAAAGCUCUCAACCUCCAGGUCUCUUUUUUUCUUUUCUUUUUUUGCACUUUCCAUUCCUUUAAAGCUGAAGUUUCCCGCAGAUUUUGAUGAUCAUUUACACGAAAUUUCUGAGUUUUUGCUGAAUUACGCAUGAUCAAAACUGAUUAGAUGAGAUCUUCCAUUGUAGUGCUCUUCAUUCCCCUAUCCUCUCUGCUUUGUCACUUCACAACAGACUCUAGGUUCAAUUUGGUGGGUGUUUUCAGUAGAAAAACAACUGGCGUUGUCAUUUGUUUUGGCAGGCUGCAAGUAUAAUCAGCUCGAGCAUACAGCCUCUUCAGAUGCUGACUGUGCUGGUAUAGUCUUGUUCAUAAUGCUUUCUCUUUAGAAGAUCUUGUUUUUUGGGGAUAGUUGUCUCGCUGGGAGAACUUUCACAUUGCAANNNNNNNNNNNNNNNNNNNNNNNNNNNNNNNNNNNNNNNNNNNNNNNNNNNNNNNNNNNNNNNNNNNNNNNNNNNNNNNNNNNNNNNNNNNNNNNNNNNNNNNNNNNNNNNNNNNNNNNNNNNNNNNNNNNNNNNNNNNNNNNNNNNNNNNNNNNNNNNNNNNNNNNNNNNNNNNNNNNNNNNNNNNNNNNNNNNNNNNNNNNNNNNNNNNNNNNNNNNNNNNNNNNNNNNNNNNNNNNNNNNNNNNNNNNNCAUCAUUGGUGCCGCACUCGUGGAUCGAGCAUCCAUGCAUGUUGUCUUUACUUUGAUGCUUGAGUAGCCUAGCUGAGUCCGUAUUCUUCUUCGUUGCAGGCCAAGUUCCCUACUUUGAGGAGGAUCCAUGAAUCGUACAAGACUUUGCCUGAAUACGAAGCAUCAUCACCGGAACGUCAACCCGAUGCCAUGAUCUGACAUGGGUAUCUCCUCUCCAAUCUCAAAGUUGGAAGCCGAAAUGUCUCAGGUAUCAGGCCGUGUGAUGAUUCUCAUGGUCAAAAGUUCAACAAAUUGCCAGCCCCGCGAGGGUCGUUCUCUCACUUUUUGUUGCCCCGUCCGUGCCAUGUCAUGUGAGUCAACUGUAAUCAUCUGUAAUAGUGACUUACCAUUUUUUAUGCCUCAAAGGUAUGCACGGUGCAGUGCAACAACACGACAACGAGGGCGAGGGGAUCUCUUUCGGAGAUAUGAGCGAAGAUGAGUGGGUACUGUUCCUUGAAAUCUUCGAGAAGCUCUUGCCCGAGGUCACGGAGAACGCUAGAUGCAACAGCUCAAAACAGAGGUUGGGAACUUCUUGCGACUUCUGAGGAAUCACCAAAGCAAUAGACGAUUUAAAGAUCAGCAAAAAGAUAGAAAGAAGCUCGGACACAGAUCGCUUGUAAUUAUUGUGGACUAAUUUUCCUUUUCUGUUUCCCAAAUGACUUGCUAGUAUAGAUUGUAGAUAAUGACCAUUUGGGGCCCGAUGUGAGAGGAAAAGCGAUCGGCAAGUCGCCUUCCUUUCCUUUUUCUACUGUCUCACGCGGUUUCGUCCUCAUUUUGUAACUAUCACCAUGCAAUUAUAUCAGUGUGUAUUGUAUUGUGUAUAAGCUCAUUGCCCCGUUUACAUCAAUGUGUGUAUGUUCACUCUGAUAUGCACAAUCAAAUUUGAGGGGUCUGGUUUUCUGGAGCAUGGCAGUAAAGCUACUCCAAAAGUCCUGUCAACUGGUGUUGGUGCAUCUCUAACCCUGUUUUGACUUUAGAAUGGCAAACCAACUAGACAGUAGCUGAUGAAAACAUCGAAUGUUUUUGCUUCCUUACCAGGUUACGGCGCACGUACGGGAGAAUUUUUGUCGUAUUAAGAAUAAAUUAAAUAGAUGACUACAGAAAAUUAAUGAGCAUCUCAUAAGAAUGAGCAUUCAAUAUCAAUUUUAAACUUUAUUAAAUUUUUUUUUUUAGAAAACAGAAUUUUUUUUGUCGUUUACCAAACGUGUUUCUAUUCUUUUUCUAUUCUAGGAACAUAAAUUGAUUGCAGUUACCAAACAUGNNNNNNNNNNNNNNNNNNNNNNNNNNNNNNNNNNNNNNNNNNNNNNNNNNNNNNNNNNNNNNNNNNNNNNNNNNNNNNNNNNNNNNNNNNNNNNNNNNNNUUUGAGAAAUUUUUUAGACAAGAAAAUUGGGGGUUUAAAGUUGAGGGUUUUCUGAAACCAAAAGAAAGUCGGGAUAAAAUUAAGAUUGGAACUAAAAUUUGAGUUUUUAAAGAAUUAGGACCGUAUAAAAAGAGCAAGAGAAAGUUGACUAGCUUCAUCUGGUGGCAUGUUUGUAAUUAGAUAGCAUAUGAUAAUUUUAUCUCUACCCUCACUCCUAGUGGCUAGGCCCAAGUCCUUCCUUAAUUUGAGGCUAUUGUCAAUUUGUUAUUGCGAAAGAGCCGCUAGGCCCACUACUUUUCUCUCUACUUAAUUAUGAAGUUACCAAUUAAUGCAAUUCCAACACCCAGCCAACGAGAUAAAUUUGUUACUAACACUGGCAAGUUUAUCAAACAUCGAUACACAAAGGAAAGAGUAUGGGGCAACAAUAAGUUUCCAGAACAGCAAAUGGACAUGGUAAGAAGCUUAAAGAAAAAAAUCUUCAGCACCAUACAAUUGAUGGCAUCACAAUGAAUUGAUUCUUAGCUUGAUUGUAUGACUGUCAAAAUGUUCCUACCACUAACUGACAAGGGAGGAACUACAGCAUGAGGAAUGUUGCGAAGCUUUUUAUUCUCCAUCUCCAGGUGUAAGAUAGGGUCCUAGAUGUGUAGUUUCACUGGGUUAGUGUUUCAAAAGUGAGAAUGCUAUAACCAAUCAAAUGUCCACACAAAAUUUAACCCAUUAGGGCCAUCAAAUGAACAUUUCUUAACCUAUAUACAAGUACAAGACUCCAGCUAUCAAGAUAUGUUGGAACUUUUGCUGUAAUGGUAAGGCAGAAAGCAAAACAUCCUUUGAAAUCAUAAGCAUGUAAUGGCAUGUAUAUGCAUUGUGCACACAGGAGGAAAAACAAAGCUGCUGCUACUCGUGCCGAUGAGGAGAGCAAAUAAAUAAUAGAUAGGAACAAUAAAAGAACAAACGUUUUUAAAACCAUACCAGUGGUUCAAUCGGUUGAACUGGUAAAACUAUAGCAUGUGAUGUCAUCUGAUCGAACACUCUGCAAAUAUUAGAUUACACAUGUUUAGAACAAAAGAAGCCCAGUGAGUCAGCAAGCGAACCAAGAAGCCCAUUGAGUUGGCAGACACCAUAGCAUUUUAGUAUAUUACACAGGCUCAAUGUCAUCUUAAUAGCAUCCUAUUCAGUUAUCUAAUAGAUUAGGCCAAUACGGUCAAUAAUUAAAUUAUCCACCACAAAUUGAAGAAAGAAGACACCGGAGCAAAUGGUUGGCACACUUGUUAAUUACAAGAAGUUGGAGUUCCAAACCCAAAGCCAACUCCAACACUACUCCUUCAAUUUUUUUUAAGGUCCAAAACUGGUCUAGAUUUUUUGAUAGGUUUGCUAGGUACCAGUUGACAGGGACAGCUGGUUAUCGGUUAAACAGGGUAAAUACCACCAGUUCUUGACCAAUACUAUUUCUGCUGGGAAAUUUAACUGGACAGGCCUGGUUUCCCAUCCAACCAGAAGCACUUCCUAAAAUCCUGAAAAGAACAGGAGUCAACAGAAAAGCAGAAUAUGCUAGGUUUUUCCUUUUGCCAUCAAUGUCUUAAUUUGUGAAUUGACAUGAUCAGAAUAGAACCCUAGAUACCAUGAGUAAGAAAUCAAUAUGCAAGCUCCGAAUCCAUGAGUUACCAUCAAUUGGUACAACUCUCAGUUAUUUGUACAAUUGGUUCCUGCAAUAUGCACAAAUGGAAGGUCACUGCCUGCAAGAUCAUCAUUCCGGCGUCUCCCAAGCCUUCACAACUAUCAUUCAUCUUAUUUAGCAACAUAGCAAUUUGAUCGUCUUGUUUACAACAGAAUGUAUUAGCCACAUUUGCAAAUUUGGGCUUUAAAAUAUGAUAUACCAAGCUCUUACCUCAAAUAGAGCCAAAUCCACAAAACAGUGACCAGGAGGGAUGCACAACAAGAUCCUUCCAAAGGUCUUCCGUGCUUCACAUUCAUUCGUCAGUCCCCUCACUAACGCUAUACAAUUCGUUACAUCUACAAAAGAAUCGUCAGGUAUUUGGAAGGAAAUAUAAUCUGAAGCAAAUUCAAAGUCAUCCUGCAGAGCCAGAUAGAGAAUGAUUAGCAUCAAAAAGCAUUUGUACUAUGCACAUGUAGAUCUCUGGAUAAUAUAUGUAGUUUCAGAUUAAAGGUAUAUAUGUCAUUCUAAGCAACCCUUAUCGUGUCUUAUCCAAAAAUAGUUCAACUUCAUGUCUAAAAUUUAGUAAUUUAGUGUCACUAAAGACAUGAUACCGCACAUGAUGAGAGACAGGCAAGAUAUUACAAUGGUUGCAAACAGAAGAUAUCUAGAAGGGUAGAGAAAUCACAAGAAAGAUUGUAACAAGCAUACCGGCUUCAUGACAUAUGAGAGCACCCUUAUGAAUUGCUCAACCUUUACAUGCAGCAUUCCAGCCUAUUAUCCACCAGAGUCUCAUCCAAACCAAUACCUAGGUAAUGAAAACGCCAUCUUGAAAGACCCCUGAGCUCACCCAUUCUAAAGCCAAUAAUUUCUACAGUAGGCUGUUAUGUAAAUAACAAUACUUCAGUAUCUUAACCCCAUAUGUCAAAUAUCAUCUCUUAUUGAGAAAACUGACACACACUCGUGAGGGAUAAAAAUAGCAUUUAUCUGCUGAACCAUCAAAGUUAAAAGUUUACGAAAGAAAAUGUUUUACACAGUAAAUGGUUAUUACAACCCAUCUUCAUUUUCUGCACACUGUGUUUGAACUAAACGACAUACUCUAGAGUCUCUGACAAAUAAAAGUUAUACUGGAAAAUUCAUUAAAGAAAUGGAGCCUAGUCUACUAUCCAAUUCAUGCAAGCAGGAUAGAAAGUUUGGAAUGUUCAUGCGAAUUAUCAAGUCCUGCCCAAAGUCGCUGUGAGAGAGAGAGAGAGAGAGAGAGAGAGAGAGAGAGAGAGAGAGAGAGAGGGGGGGGAGGGCAUUUAUGUGAUAGUUGUGAGCUGUAAGCACAAUAUUGACAGGAAAUGCUAGUGUGUUCAAGAAGAUAGCCCCUAGCCCUUCUGCUGUUAGCUUGGGUAAGGUUAACUUCUUUACAAUAUUCAAAUAUCAAACCGCAUCUCUAUCCAACAGCUUCAGGAAGGGUAACUUCUUUACAACAUUCAAAUAUCAAACUGCAUCUCUACAGGAGAUACUUGAUUCAAAACUCUCCCUGCUACUAAUUUACCUCCCCAAUUAUCAAAUGUUUACACUUCAAUCUAAAGAAAAGUCCCAGCUUACAAAAGAGCAUUUAAACAGUAAGCCACAUCUUUAUUUCAUAGCUUAAUCUUUUUAUCACUUGUCAAUUUUUCCACAAAAUUCUACACCGUCAUGAAUGCACAAAUUGAAUAGACAAAAGGAGAAAGAAGCCCUAAAGCAUUGAUUGGCAGUACCAUAGAGUUAAAGAGAGUUCAUAAGCCUUGGCAAGAAAGAAAUAGGCAGGCUUUUAAAAAUGAGGAAAGCUCUAUAGGUGCUGUAAAAGAUAUUGGCUUACUACCUUAUUUUUUUCACAUUGUGGUGGCAGUUCUUUGGACACCAACUCUUUUUUUAAUUUUUAAGGUAAAUAUGUGCUUAUAGGUGGUAAUUAGUAAAUAGGAGGCAUCCCCUUGGUGCUUUUUAAUAGACUCACUAAUCAAAAUAUAAAACAGCAGAGUAUAACCUUGAAAUAUGUAACUAGAAACGUCAUUUCUCACUAUAGUAGUAAUCAAGAAAAAUAUGUAGCAUGCACAUGAGAGUCACUGUACCCAGGAGAAGCACAUGAUCUGAUCCAAUUAAAAACAGCCCUAUAGUGUGAAUGUACAUGUGUGCACACCUGUGUAAGCACAUGAUCGCAUGCAUGUGCACACCGAAGCACUUGUUCACAACACACAAAAAUGCCCAUAUAAAUGGAGAGAGAUCUGGCAAGGAAAUAAACUGGCAAUAUAUUUUCUCUAGAUAACAGAGGAUUUUGUUGAGAGAAAAAGUUCCAGUACAUCGGUAUAGAAGAGAACAAAACAAAAGAAAAACAAACAAAAAUGAAGCAUUAGAAGAUAUAUAGAAUCAGAAUAUGAUUCUGAAAGCCGGUUAAAAGGUGCCAACACAGAAGCAACCAAAGAUUCCAAACCCUACAUUUUGUUGCUUUCUUUCCUAAGGCAUCCCAUGAGACAAAGGUGCCGCACUUCAGAACUUCUUAGAAAUUGAUCCUCCUAAUUAGGCAUGCCAACAGUUAAAGAAACUGGAUGCCAAAACAUUUGGCAAGAACCAAACUACCUUAGACAAGCCAAAGAUUUGAUGUAAAAGCUUGGAAGCGAAGUCAGAAAGAAAAAAGAGAUGAUCAACAUUUUCCUUUAAAAGUUUUCACACACAACUCCAUUCUAUGAAAAAUCAAAUUCCAUUUCUUGAGAUUCUCAAUUGUAAGAUCUCAUUCCAAUUUGGUGUGCAUUUAUUAUGAAACUUACACUCCCAAGUAAUGGAAUUUGAUUCUCACAUAUUGGCGUUGUAUGUGUAAGCAUUUGGGUGAAAUGUCAAGGAACAAGGAAGCUUUGGUUGCAGAUUGUUAUCAUUUAAAUAACGAAAUGAUCAUUUGCGACAUGGACUUUGUGGGCCAAGCCCAAGGUUAGGAGUUCGAAGAUUUCUGAUGCUUUUAGGGAUGCUUUUGCCUGGAACAAGGGAAGAGAUGGAAUCUUUUCUGUAAAGUCUUACUACAAGCUGCUCGAUAGGGAGAUUUGUGAAAAGAACAGAUUUUCAUUAGAAAUCGAUUUGGAAAGUGAGGAUUCCAAUAGAGUUUCUCUUUUUGCUUGGGAAGCAACCUGGGAACAAAUCCUUACUUUAGAAAUGAGGCAAAGUACUGGUUAAUAGGUGUCUCCUCAGCAAGAGGAGAUAGUGCGUGUGGCAUCUCCUCCUUCAUUUUGUUCUUGGACAAGAAUGGUUUGGACCGUUUCCUAUGCAUGCACCAUGUUAUCUUGGGUUAUUAGACGUUUUGUUGAGCAAGAACUUUGGGCAUGGUAGGGCAUUCGUUUACAGCACAACAAUUAGGAUUAAAUCAAUUCCCCUGUGUCUUUUGGAUGAUUUGGAAGGAGCAGAAUAAGAGAGCUUCCAAUGGAGAGAAAUCUUCCAUUCUAUUUUAUUGAAAGUUGGCUUAAAGUCACACACUUUUGGUAUAGUGCAAACUUGCAUAUAGAUGUAAAUGCCUUGGUUGAUUAGUCAAUGAUUUAUCUGGUAUUUGAACUCCCUUUUGGUUUUGGGAGUUGAUUUGCAUAUGGCUUUAGUUUUUUGGGCUCCUUUUGUAUAUGGGUUGCACCCCCUUGGUGCCCUACAGGUGAAUAUAUAAUCUAUAAAAAGAAACUUAACACUUUCCUGAGGAUUUUAAGUUAUUCAAAUUACCCUUUGUUCCAACACAUGUUAUCUCAUCAUAUAGUUUCAAGUACUACCAUCAACAUCUCACAUAUGAUUUUGUGCUAAUUAGCAUAACUAUCACCCACAUGGGAAAAAACACUCUAUUAACUCAUAGUUGUAAUUCCUUUUGCGAGUAAGAUCAUUGUGAUAAAAGGGUGCCACUACUACUGAAAGUCAAGAUCAAAAAAGUUCAAGAGAAACUUUGGAUCCAAAGAGCUACCUACCAACACACUACCAAAAAAGGAGCAAUACAAGGGACUAAGAGAAGUAUACAAAACUGAUUUGAAGAGGAAAAAAGCGAGUAUAAUGCAUAAGAAGGUCACAAACAGCUAAUAUGAAUCCAUCUGGCAUGCGACUUAGUAAAAGCAAUUUCAACACUAGGGCGUAACAUCCUCAUCAUUAUUUUGCCAAAAAAGAGGUGGUAUAUCAAAAAUCGUGAUCUAAAGAUAUGCUACAAAAUAAUAAUAUAAAAUAAUCAAUUCUCACAUCUAAGUGCUAAAUAAAUGAUUGUGAAUAGAGGCUCUCAUAACUGUUGUUAAGCAUCACAAAUUAGAUCCAUGUAGGCUUAAUUCACUGUCAUCCGAGCACCCACCAGUUAGUUUUCUGCUCAUUUUCUUCAAAUUUCUAAGUUUUCAUUCUCAUCCUUAGCUUGUUGACCUUAAACAUAACACAGGAAAGAAGAGUUUCAGUUACUACAUUGAGUUCAAUGAGUGGAAUUUGGUAAUAUAAACAAGUCUAACUUCCCCUAGGCUCUAAUAGUAAUAUUAGUAGGUAAAACGAGUUGAAUAUGAUUCUCUAGUACAAAAAUUGACUCUUGCAGUUAAGAGGGGAUAUAUGCUAAGACCGAAACGGGCAGUAAACUCUUUCCUUUUAAAUUGAGAACAUAUCUCUACACCUACUAAUUAUAAUGUGAAUAAAUU
rnacentral:lncRNA from 1 species